rnacentral:rRNA from 1 species
CCUACGGGAGGCAGCAGUGAGGAAUAUUGGUCAAUGGGCGAGAGCCUGAACCAGCCAAGUAGCGUGAAGGAUGACGGCCCUACGGGUUGUAAACUUCUUUUAUAAAGGAAUAAAGUGAGGUACGUGUGCCUUUAUGAAUGUACCUUAUGAAUAAGGAACGGCUAACUCCGUGCCAGCAGCCGCGGUAAUACGGAGGAUCCGAGCGUUAUCCGGAUUUAGUGGGUUUAAAGGGAGCGUAGAUGGGUUGUUAAGUCAGUUGUGAAAGUUUGUGGCUUAACCGUAGAAUUGCAAUUGAUACUGGCAGCCUUGAGUACGGUUGAGGUAGGCGGAAUUCGUGGUGUAGCGGUGAAAUGCUUAGAUAUCAAGAAGAACUCCGAUUGCGAAGGCAGCCUACUAGACUGCCACUGACGUUGAUGCUCGAAAGUGUGGGUAUCAAACAGGAUUAGAUACCCUGGUAGUC